GGGGACGUAGCUCAGUGGAUAGAGCGGCCAAACCGCCAUCGCCAAAUUUGCCUCACGGGGCCGGGGGCCGAUGGUUACCAUUUGAGAUGGGCAGGUCGCGGGUUCGAGUCCCGCCGUCUCCA
rnacentral:tRNA from 1 species